GUCGUAUUUAAGCUUAGGUUCAUCCGCUGAUGGAGGGCUGGGAUUCGUACCGAGAUGGCUGAUUCCAACCCCAUUCUGGUUGGCGCUGAGCCCAGCACAGUGCCCCUAGCGGCCACCAGAGGGCGCACAGAGACUCCCAGGCGGGACAAGGGGUCGGUUUGUGGGAGGAAGAGGGAGCUGGAGCUCAGCCUCUUGCGCGCAAGCACCAGGCACAACAGCACAACGGACACCCAGAAGCAUGCUGAUGAGAGGGAAGCGGGCCGCAGGAAAAGCUACCCAACUAUAAAUUCGGCCUCCAGUGGAGGAAAGGGGAGAUCAUUCUUCACCUGCCGUGAACAAGAACUUGGAGUCCAGUAUCAUCUUUCCGGUGCCAGAAGGAUGGAGAGAGAGAUCAACAGGUGAACAGAUGAACAGAUAGGUGGAUAGGAAGGCCGCAGGCUCUAAGAAGUGGUGGAUCGCUGCUAUCAAGGAGCCGCCUCAAGCAGGGAUGGCCUGGGGCAGAAGAUGCUAAGGGAAGGAUGGGGUGGGGGGGCUGGAA
rnacentral:lncRNA from 9 species